rnacentral:rRNA from 1 species
UACGGAGGGUGCGAGCGUUGUCCGGAAUCAUUGGGCGUAAAGGGCGCGUAGGUGGCCCGGUCAGUCUUUGGUGAAAUCCCGGAGCUCAACUCCGGAACUGCCUUUGAUACUGGCGACCUUGAGGCUGGAAGAGGUUAGUGGAAUUCCCAGUGUAGAGGUGAAAUUCGUAGAUAUUGGGAAGAACACCAGUGGCGAAGGCGGCUAACUGGUCCAGAUCUGACGCUGAGGUGCGAAAGCGUGGGGAGCAAACAGG